UACGUAGGGUGCAAGCGUUAAUCGGAAUUACUGGGCGUAAAGCGUGCGCAGGCGGUUUGGUAAGACAGAUGUGAAAUCCCCGGGCUCAACCUGGGAAUUGCAUUUGUGACUGCCCGACUAGAGUGUGUCAGAGGGGGGUAGAAUUCCACGUGUAGCAGUGAAAUGCGUAGAGAUGUGGAGGAAUACCGAUGGCGAAGGCAGCCCCCUGGGAUAACACUGACGCUCAUGCA
rnacentral:rRNA from 1 species